CAAUGGAUAGCUCAGAUGGUUAGAGCAGAUGACCAUGAAUCAUCCUGUCGCGGGUUCGACUCCCGCUCCAGCGC
rnacentral:tRNA from 1 species